GUAGGUGAACCUGCGGAAGGAUCAUUAUUGAAUCCUCAGGAUGUCGCUGGCUCUUGCAAGGGAGCAUGUGCACUCCGCCUUCAAUCCACCUGUGCACUUAUUGUAGGUCAAAGGGGCAACCCUUUGCCUAUGCUUUUUCACACACACUUUUAAAGUACCAGAAUGUAACACAGUAGACCUUCAGGUCGAAAUAACAAUACAACUUUCAACAACGGAUCUCUUGGUUCUCGCAUCGAUGAAGAACGCAGCA
rnacentral:misc_RNA from 1 species